UGUUGACACUCGCCGAACCGCCCACACUACGACCUGAAACGACUCGUGCCGACGCCACCGCCAGAGGUGACCUUUUGUUGAAGUGUUGGGAGACAGGAGAGCCUGGAUUUGAUGGAUUUCAGGUGAAACGCCUCACCACAGCUUCCUCCCUCAGACCUGAUCUGGACUCCUACUCCAUCCUGACCAGCAGGAGGUCGAGGAGUCGACUAAGAGGAGAACAGACCAACCUCAUGUCCAGCCCGUUCAGGAAGAGGAUGCGGUCGCCUGACUUCAGCCCACACUCCUCCGCUGGACUGUCUGGGAGGAGAACGAGGAGAAUCGCACGUCAGGCCCAGAUUGGAAAUGGACCCUGGCAGCAGCCGUCCAGAUAACAACGGGCAGAACGAGAAACCACCAACCUGCACGACGAGGAGGAAGAGGAGGAGGAAGAGGAGGCGGCGGCUUUACCUGGGAUGACGGCGUCGAUGCAGACGGGGGCGUGGCCUCGCAGCGUGAAGCCGAAGCUCUUCUUCCCACGGUAGACGCGGAUGACCCUGAGGGUGGAGACAGAAGCUGAAGCUCAACCUAUUCUAAUUAAAGUUCAAUAUUAUGGGAUGUUCUCUCAAAUACCAAUUUAUA